rnacentral:rRNA from 1 species
UACGAGGGGGGCAAGCGUUGUUCGGAAUUAUUGGGCGUAAAGCGUGCGCAGGCGGUUCGUUAAGACAGAUGUGAAAUCCCCGGGCUUAACCUGGGAACUGCAUUUGUGACUGGCGAGCUAGAGUAUGGCAGAGGGGGGUAGAAUUCCACGUGUAGCAGUGAAAUGCGUAGAGAUGUGGAGGAAUACCGAUGGCGAAGGCAGCCCCCUGGGAUAACACUGACGCUCAUGCACGAAAGCGUGGGGAGCAAACAGG